GAAUGAGUAGGUGUGCCCAAACUUUUGACUGGUACUGUACAUCUUAUGUAAUCUGGGGCACCUAGAAAAUGAAAUGACUUCUGAGAAUGUACUAUGUAAGUGGUUCUCAACCGGUCACAAAAAGGCGUUGAGAUGGGUUAUUUCUGGGUCAUGAAGCUGAUUCUGACAUUGAAUAGGAAUUGAACAUGACCGAUUGACAAGCGCUUACUGUUGGUUCACAUAGAUCUUUUGAAAGUUAUAAUGAUGAGAAGGCUGCUGAAUAGAAAUGUAAGGAAUUUCCUUGAACUGUACCUUAGAAUUCUCUUUUAUGUAUUCUCCACAUGGAGACCGAGGCCUGUCACAACAACAGACUGUGCAUCAUGCAGAUUGACAGUUGGUUACUUGAUAUAAUAAAGUUCUUUAUCGUGCCUUUCAUAUGCAUAGCGCUGUACCUGCUUUGUUGCCGUAGCAAGUGGCUAUGCACUCAGGAAGAAGAGUCAGAUGACUCCUCUAUCUAUGUCAUCCCUAUGCAUGAAGAAGAGAGGACAGAAGGACGGAGAGAGGAGCCAAGGCCCCCCAGUAGACCUCCUCGGCCCUCAAGGGCCCCAACCCCUCCACCAUUACCCACGACUGUCUACAGACCUCCCUAUAGGGAACUGCCGCCGUAUAGCUCAGUGGACCUCAUCAACCCCGCACCACCAUACACUCCGUUUGACCCAAAGGACUCAGAGGACGUUCCACCUUCCUACCGAGCGGUGAUAGAGGACAUACCACCUGUCUACUCAGCAGUGGUGGUGCCAGAUGACCUUCCAUCUGUCUGGUAUCCGCCACUGCCCCCAGUCUCACCCCCCUUAUACCCAAGUCCAGGUUAUGCCCAACCCCCGUUACCAAGACCCUAACAUGGACGCAACUUGCACAAUCGAGAAUUCCGUUUUAUCCCACAGCACUGCUACAGCCUGGUCCCAGAUCUGUUUGUGCUGUCUUGCCAACACCUAUAGACAGCACAAACAGAUCUGGGACCAGGCUAUGUCUGCUAACUCCAUUGGGUUCAUAUAGAGCUCUGAACAUACAUAAGCAGGCCAUCCAAAGAACAAUGCUGAUUAAUCUAUGUUUUUGAGGAAACUUUGGAUUUAUGUGAUACAGGUGGGGCCUAGAGUUGUUCCCGGUUAGUGAAAACUCGGGACCUGAAAUACUGUAUAGUGGUAUCUUAUUUAAAUUGAACACUUUUGGUCACUGACGUGACAUUGUACUGUAAAGUAUCUGGUUUGGCUUGUGUAGAAGACUGGGCCAUCAUGUAGUCAUUGUUAAUUUCGUCAACAAAAAUAGUGACUAAAAUAUUAGUCAAACACCUAUUUUUCAGUAGCAAUUGACGAGACUAUAACUGACUAAAUAGACCCAGAAUUUUUUUUAACGAAAAUGAUUGUUUCAGUUGACUAAAACGAGAUGAGACAAAAUUAUCUCUGUGACUAUAAUCUGACUACUAAGUGGACUGGACAAGAGUUUUUGGAGAGAUUGAGAGCUUUUCAGUGAUAAGCACAAUAAAUAUUAGCAGCACAGCAAACACAGCCUUCAUCAGCUGGUGAGUUGUGGGGGAGCAAGCAAUGAGUGUGGGCAGACAGGCAGACAGGCAGACAGGCUCCACUCUGGCUCCGCCUCUGAUUAUACACAUCACCCAGGCAAUACUCUUGCUUCACCUUAACCAGUCACCACCACCAGCCUUCUUAGCUAGAAUACUCUUUGCUGGUUAAGAAAUACAAGCUGCUUUACCAAAUUAAAAACAAUAGCAGCAUUGAGUCGGCUAUAGAAAAGUAGUCUUUGAAUUUGUAGUCUCCUUCAACCCUCCCACUUUUCCCACUGCAUUUCAUAUACAGGUUCUGUAGUCAAGUGUCCCUCUUUUCCACAGAGAAAACGGCUUGAUUUAAGCCUUUAGGCUACCAUUCAAAAGACAUGACCCAUAAUACCGGCGCUCCAUUUAUCUUUCUUCUAUCGUGCACUGGCAGGCCACAUUUUACAUUCAUAAAGCAUAUUGCAGGUCAUUCUAAAACUACGCUACUUGCGGACCGGACCGUUAACCAGUUGUUUAGGCUACACCUUGUUCAGUCAUGUUACUUCAUUAGCUAGCUAUAGCUAACUACCAGUAGCCUAUAUGCAAACAUUUUCUGGCACAGAAAGGAAAAUGGAUAGCAAACAAUUUAUUGACAAAGUUAUUCUAGACACCACGCUAAAUCUGACUGGGUAAAUAACUAUAUUUUGAGUUAAUGUGUGGACCCAGUGACUCAGACUCAAGCACUGGGACUCUGACUUCAACCAUAGGGACUUGUGACUCGACUUGUGACUUGGACUCGAGCACAGGGAACUUGGGACUCGAUUCAGACUCGAGGUUUAGUGACUCAUUUUAAUAACUGGGCAAAACAGUUAUUAGCUCCCUUCCAAAAUCAUUAGCCCCUGUUUUACUUUUGGAGAUCAAUGUGGCAUCUGUGGAACAUUGAUAACAUUGGUAAUGACACGACCGAGUGAUGGAGGUGCAACUCAUACUUUGCGGCACCAUCUGGUGAUUGAGUCUGUCUCUCUCUCUUGUCUGUUUGUUUUGUAUGUAAUGUGCAAUAUCUAUGUAGGCUGAAUUAGGAAUUUACAUGGCCAGAUAAUUGUUAUAUAAUAUAAUUAUUAUAUAUGUUUGUCAUGUUUCUGCUGUUGGGAAGAGAAUAGGAUGUUAUGCAGAAAAAUAUGUCAGUAGGACAAUGUUAUGUAUGUUUGUGCACAUGGAAGUAAGUGAUUUGUGUUUACUAUAAGUUGAGGCAAAUGUGAUGUGACUACAAUGUAACUAAAAUGAAAGGGGAUUUAGUUGACUAAAAUGGCCCACUGUUUUUGUCAUUUUGACAAUAACUAGACUAAAUAGUUAUUCAAAUUACAAAAAUAUGACUAAGACUUAAUGAUAUUUUAGUCAAAAUGACUAAGAAAAGACUAAAUCUAAAAAAAGAGUGCCAAAAUGAACACUGCAUGGAGUAUUUUCUCUUUAUCUUUUGGAAAGAGUUUCUAGCGAAGAAGGUAUAAUGGUGAAUUAAUGCACCUUUAUAUUUGUCAUAUUUUGACAAAUAGUGCUGAUAUAAAUUAUAUUGUUUACAUUAAUGUACAUUAUUUUGAUGUAAUUUCUAUUCAAAAUGAGAAAAAAAACUAUGCAACACUUUUAUACCUGAUGAUGCCUCCUGUUUCUUUCUAAUGCGGAUACAGCACUCAAGGAAGAAGCUGCAGCAAAUCUAAAAACAAAAGACAUUAUCCACUCCAUAUAGGAGUGAAACACUGCCAAGAUGUCCUCCCAAGUGGUGCAGUGGUCUAAGGCACUGCAUUGCAGUGCUAGCUGUGCCACUAGAGAUCCUGGUUCAAAU